UACGUAGGGUGCGAGCGUUAAUCGGAAUUACUGGGCGUAAAGGGUGCGCAGGCGGUUAUAUAAGACAGAUGUGAAAUCCCCGGGCUCAACCUGGGAACUGCGUUUGUGACUGUAUGACUAGAGUACGGUAGAGAGGGGUGGAAUUCCUGGUGUAGCAGUGAAAUGCGUAGAUAUCUGGAGGAACACCGGUGGCGAAGGCGACGUCCUGGACCGGCAUUGACGCUGAGGCGCGAAAGCCAGGGGAGCAAACGGG
rnacentral:rRNA from 1 species